AUUGAACGCUGGCGGCAUGCUUUACACAUGCAAGUCGAACGGUAACAGGUUAAGCUGACGAGUGGCGAACGGGUGAGUAAUGCAUCGGAACGUGCCCGAUCGUGGGGGAUAACGCAGCGAAAGCUGCGCUAAUACCGCAUACGAUCUGAGGAUGAAAGCGGGGGACCGUAAGGCCUCGCGCGAUCGGAGCGGCCGAUGUCAGAUUAGGUAGUUGGUGGGGUAAAGGCUCACCAAGCCAGCGAUCUGUAGCUGGUCUGAGAGGACGACCAGCCACACUGGGACUGAGACACGGCCCAGACUCCUACGGGAGGCAGCAGUGGGGAAUUUUGGACAAUGGGCGCAAGCCUGAUCCAGCAAUGCCGCGUGCAGGAAGAAGGCCUUCGGGUUGUAAACUGCUUUUGUACGGAGCGAAAAGGCUCUCUCUAACACAGGGGGCUCAUGACGGUACCGUAAGAAUAAGCACCGGCUAACUACGUGCCAGCAGCCGCAGUAA
rnacentral:rRNA from 1 species